AUGGCACGUUGUGGAAUUAAUCUGGCCGUCCUCGUCUUCUCUUCUAGCACCGGGGAAUGGCGUGCCGCCUCAUCGUCCCAGGACUGGAGGGAUAUAGUCGUUGUCAGUGACCCUUUCUGUUUUCUGAGGCCUCAUUUCGCAGGUGGCUGCAUCUACUGGGACUCGCCGUUAAACCAGAACAAGUUGCUCGUGCUUGACACUAAGACUAUGGAGUUCUCCAUUGCAGAUUUCCCACCUGGAGAAUGGGACGAAAAAUUAGCUAUUGUCGAUGCAGGGGAAGGCAGGUUUGGAAUGUUUGGCAUCCAUGAUGGAGAUGAAGGUGGUGAAUCUGUUCUUAGUUAUAUGGUUGGGCAAAACGAAGGUGAGAGUUCUGGCCAGCUGAAGAAAGUCUCACUAGGUUAUGGGCAUCAGUAUUAUUUCACAGACUAUGCAACACAGAAUUACUUGAUCCUAUUAAGGGCUGAAGCUAGCCCGUACGAAGUCUUAUCACGGACCCCAUCAAAGAUAGAAUUUUUUUCACUGGAUGUCAAGACAGCGCAGCUUGAGAGGAUGUUUAUUGAACCUUCCAAGUUUGGUUGUUCUCGAGCGCACAUAUAUACCAACUUCCCGCCAUCAUUAUUGUCUUCACCAACAAUAUGA
rnacentral:rRNA from 1 species